CUUUGCUGACCUCUCCGAUCCACUCACACAACUCAGAGCUUCUGUGGACAUCACCCAGUCUGUCAAACCAAACACGCAAACAAAGUCACUCACCUAGAGAUAACGGAAAAAACGCAAGAGGUCUUCCCCUGCCGGCCUCGCAACGCCUUCUCCAACCCAGACUGCCUGGGACAGAUCUGAGCAGCCUGGUGGCACGGCAGGUUCAGCUGCUCCCACUCCUGCAGCCAGGAUCCUGCGCGCGCGCCGGCCUCGGCAUGGCACUCGGAUCAAUCUGGCUCACAGUCUGCUGUUUCUCAAGGGGGUUACAUGCUUAGGAAAGAAAUACUGCCACCACCACCACCAACAACAAUCAAGAGAUGAUCACGUAAUGCGUUCUCUCCCCCGCUAGAAGAAGUUGACUGAGCUGUGGCUCUGGCAGUGAGACUGAAAUCCAACAGUAAAGCAACCAGUCGCAAUCGAGAAGCACCCACUCUCAGCUGAGAAAGAGCCGAUGGAAAGCUCUGGAGAGCAGACUACCAAGUGACUUUGUACUUUGUCUGGCCUCAUGUCACAGAAAAGACGAUACAAAAACCUCAGUACAAGCACUACUUGUUCUUUCAGUUUAUUCUAAAAUAA